rnacentral:lncRNA from 1 species
CCAGGACCAGGUAGAAAGUCAAAUAACCUAGGCCCUGCAACAUUGCACCCAGGAAUGGAUUACUGUCUAUCCUACUUCCCCAAAAGAGAAUUAACAGCAUAGAAAUUAUGCCUAAAAGCCAGGUAUUUAUAUACCAGGUUUCUCUUACUGAUAACUCUGGAUUGAGUUGUUUCCAUUAAAUCAACAAUAUUAAAUGUCUUGGGGUGGAGCCAAGAUGGCCAAAUAAGAACAGCUCCAGUCUACAACUCCCAGCAUGAGCGACGCAGAAGACGGGUGAUUUCUGCAUUUCCAACUGAGGUACUGGGUUCAUCUUACUGGGAAGUGUUGGACAG